rnacentral:rRNA from 1 species
AUGGCGGCGGUUCGGUGCGCGGCGAGGAGGCUCGGUGGCUCCCUGCUCCAGCAAACGCAGGCGGUGGUCGCGGAGGAGGGACGCCUGCUCGCGCCAGGCAGGCUCAUGCGCUCCCGCCAGCUCUCCAGCCAGGUCUCCGGCGAGCGAUCACAGGUGGCGGAGCGACGACUCCUCGAGCCAGGCUGGCUCAUGCGUUCCCGCCAGCUCUACAGCAAGACCCCCAAGAAGAAGAAGCUGUCUGCCUUGGAAUCUGAGUUCCUGUGGACACAGGAGACGCUUAAUGCCUCGUGUGAUAGGUUGGAGGAGCUUCAAAAGAAAGCAGCACCAGAUGCCUUUAAGUUGGGCGUGAAGACCUAUGGACGUGUGGCUAAGGGUGUGGUCAGUGGAGCUGCCAAGCUGACAUUUUGCUUCUGUAUGGUUACUUCUGUUAUUUUUGGUGACAAGGGGGUACAAAGCCAGGCUGUUACCAAUGAAAACCAUUGA